CCUUAUAGUGGGGGAGUAGCCUUUCGAAGGAAGAUUAAUACCGCAUAAGAUUGUAGUAUCGCAUGAUAUAGCAAUUAAAGGAGCAAUCCGCUAUAAGAUGGACCCGCGUCGCAUUAGCUAGUUGGUGAGGUGAUGGCUCACCAAGGCGACGAUGCGUAGCCGACCUGAGAGGGUGAUCGGCCACAUUGGGACUGAGACACGGCCCAGACUCCUACGGGAGGCAGCAUG
rnacentral:rRNA from 1 species